GAUGAACGCUGGCGGCGUGCCUAAUACAUGCAAGUCGAGCGAACAGACGAGGAGCUUGCUCCUCUGACGUUAGCGGCGGACGGGUGAGUAACACGUGGAUAACCUACCUAUAAGACUGGGAUAACUUCGGGAAACCGGAGCUAAUACCGGAUAAUAUAUUGAACCGCAUGGUUCAAUAGUGAAAGACGGUUUUGCUGUCACUUAUAGAUGGAUCCGCGCCGCAUUAGCUAGUUGGUAAGGUAACGGCUUACCAAGGCAACGAUGCGUAGCCAACCUGAGAGGGUGAUCGGCCACACUGGAACUGAGACACGGUCCAGACUCCUACGGGAGGCAGCAGUAGGGAAUCUUCCGCAAUGGGCGAAAGCCUGACGGAGCAACGCCGCGUGAGUGAUGAAGGUCUUCGGAUCGUAAAACUCUGUUAUUAGGGAAGAACAAAUGUGUAAGUAACUAUGCACGUCUUGACGGUACCUAAUCAGAAAGCCAGGGCUAACUACGUG
rnacentral:rRNA from 1 species